rnacentral:rRNA from 1 species
GGAUCUUGGGCAAUGGGCGAAAGCCUGACCCAGCAACGCCGCGUGAGGGAUGAAGGUCUUCGGAUUGUAAACCUCUUUUCUCUGGGAGCAGCAAGGAGAGUACCAGAGGAAGAAGUCACGGCUAACUACGUGCCAGCAGCCGCGGUAAUACGUAGGUGGCAAGCGGUAUCCGGAAUUACUGGGCGUAAAGGGUCCGUAGGUGGGGUGGUUAGUCUGGUGUGACAUCUCUCGGCUUAACUGGGAGGGUGCAUUGGAAACUACCACUCUUGAGUCACAGAGAGGGGCGUGGAAUUCCAGGUGUAGUGGUGGAAUGCGUAGAGAUCUGGAGGAACCCCGUUGGCGCAAGCGACGCCCUGGCUGAGGACUGACACUGAGGGACGAAGGUGUGGGGAGCAAACAGG